CCCGUCCACAAUACAAGGAAAGACAAACUCCAAAGAAAAAGGGGAAAAAAAAGAUUGUAGAGGCGUAUAGGCCAGGGGAGAGAGAGAGAGAUCAUAGGGUGACGCAGAGAGAGAGAGAGAGAGAGAGGGGGAGAGAGGGGGGUGAACAUGGGGUUGUGCUUUGGUUGCUUCGACGGGGGCAACAAGCGUAUGACCAAGGAGGAAGAAAGAUUGGCCUCUGAAGAAGCCCGUGCUAGAGCUGCUGAAGCCGCCCAGAAAAAGCAAGAGCAUGAUGAAGAGGCAAAGCAACCAGAAACGGAAAAGGAAGCUGAAAACUCCAACGACGACCAUGGCGAACCGUUUGUAAAGGUUUAGGGAUACAAGGGGGUCACUUGAUUUUCGGCAAUGGCAGAAGGAUUGAGGUUAGGCCAACUGUUUAUUACAUAUGUAAGAUAGGUCCAGUCAAAUCCUCUGCACUGCCAGCUUUCCUUGUUCCGGAGAUGUACAAACGGUCUUUACUACAACUGUACCAUCGGUCAAAUUUGUUGUUUUUCAGAUCCAGAAACAUUCUGUUUGUUUGCUAAAAAUUCGUGAUGUAAAAGCAAACAAGGAUAAGUUGAGAAUGUAGUUUGGUGUUUUUAUUCCAUUUGUAAAACUCGACUAUCCUUUCUCAAAAAUUGAACACAUCAACCAA